CCUACGGGAGGCAGCAGUGAGGAAUAUUGGUCAAUGGGCGGGAGCCUGAACCAGCCAAGUCGCGUGAGGGAAGACGGUCCUAUGGAUUGUAAACCUCUUUAGGCGGGGAGCAAUGCCGGGCACUCUUGCCCGGAGGGAGAGUACCCGCAGAAUAAGCAUCGGCUAACUCCGUGCCAGCAGCCGCGGGAAUACGGAUGAUGCGAGCGUGAUCCGGAUUUUUUGGUGUUAAAGGGUGCGUAGGCGGAUUUUUAAGUCAGCGGUAAAAUGUCCGGGCUCAACCCGGGCCGGCCGUUGAAACUGGGGAUCUUGAGUGGGCGAGAAGUAUGCGGAAUGCGUGGUGUAGCGGUGAAAUGCAUAGAUAUCACGCAGAACUCCGAUUGCGAAGGCAGCAUACCGGCGCCCGACUGACGCUGAGGCACGAAAGCGUGGGGAUCGAACAGGAUUAGAUACCCUUGUAGUC
rnacentral:rRNA from 1 species